GAUGAACGCUAGCGACAGGCUUAACACAUGCAAGUCGAGGGGCAGCAUAGAAGUAGCAAUACUUUGGUGGCGACCGGCGCACGGGUGAGUAACGCGUAUGCAACCUACCUAUCAGAGGGGGAUAACCCGGCGAAAGUCGGACUAAUACCGCAUAAAACAGGGGCACCGCAUGGUGAUAUUUGUUAAAGAUCAAUUGCUGAUAGAUGGGCAUGCGUUCCAUUAGGUAGUUGGUGAGGUAAUGGCUCACCAAGCCGACGAUGGAUAGGGGAACUGAGAGGUGGGUCCCCCACACUGGUACUGAGACACGGACCAGACUCCUACGGGAGGCAGCAGUGAGGAAUAUUGGUCAAUGGGCGAGAGCCUGAACCAGCCAAGUCGCGUGAAGGAAGAAGGAUCUAUGGUUCGUAAACUUCUUUUGCAGGGGAAUAAAGUGGAGGACGUGUCCUCUUUUGUAUGUACCCUGAGAAUAAGGAUCGGCUAACUCCGUGCCAGCAGCCGCAGUAACAC
rnacentral:rRNA from 1 species